UUGACCUCGAAUCAGGUAGGACUACCCGCUGAACUUAAGCAUAUCAAUAAGCGGAGGAAAAGAAACCAACAGGGAUUGCCCCAGUAACGGCGAGUGAAGCGGCAACAGCUCAAAUUUGAAAUCUGGUCCCCAGGGCCCGAGUUGUAAUUUGCAGAAGAUUUU
rnacentral:rRNA from 1 species